GAUGAAGAACGUAGCGAAAUGCGAUAAGUAGUGUGAAUUGCAGAAUUCAGUGAAUCAUCGAAUCUUUGAACACACAUUGCGCCCUUUGGUAUUCCUUAGGGCAUGCCUGUUCGAGCGUCAUUUAAACCUUCAAGCUAAGCUUGGUGUUGGGUGACUGUCCGCUUCACGGCGGACUCGCCUCAAAAUUAUUGGCGGCCGGUACAUUGGCUUCGAGCGCAGCAGAAACGCGAACUCGGGCCCGUCGUAUUGGCUCCCAGAAGCUAUCUUCACAAUUUUGACCUCGGAUCAGGUAGGGAUACCCGCUGAACUUAAGCAUAUCAAUAAGCGGAGGA
rnacentral:misc_RNA from 1 species